GAUGAACGCUGGCGGCGUGCCUAAUACAUGCAAGUCGAGCGAACAGAUGAGGAGCUUGCUCCUCUGACGUUAGCGGCGGACGGGUGAGUAACACGUGGAUAACCUACCUAUAAGACUGGGAUAACUUCGGGAAACCGGAGCUAAUACCGUAUAAUAUAUUGAACCGCAUGGUUCAAUAGUGAAAGACGGUUUUGCUGUCACUUAUAGAUGGAUCCGCGCCGCAUUAGCUAGUUGGUAAGGUAACGGCUUACCAAGGCAACGAUGCGUAGCCGACCUGAGAGGGUGAUCGGCCACACUGGAACUGAGACACGGUCCAGACUACUACGGGAGGCAGCAGUAGGGAAUCUUACGCAAUGGGCGAAAGCAUGACGGAGCAACGCCGCGUGAGUGAUGAAGGUCUUCGGAUCGUAAAACUCUGUUAUUAGGGAAGAACAAAUGUGUAAGUAACUAUGCACGUCUUGACGGUACCUAAUCAGAAAGCCACGGCUAACUACGUG
rnacentral:rRNA from 1 species